UCGUGCUAGACGGGGAGGUAGCGGUGCCCUGUACCUGCAACCCGCUAGAGCAGGGUCGAAUUCCUGCCUGCGGCUCCGGCUUCUUAGGGUCUGACCCAAGUAAGUGGUGUUGAAGAUCGGGUCCCGUGCGGCGUAAGCUUGUGAACCCCGUCAGGUCCGGAAGGAAGCAGCGGUAAGCAAGUACUUGCGGGUGCCACGGGGCAGCCUGGUCUGAGCUAACUGCCUGGGUAACGCCUGAGAGAAAGAGACAACGGUAGGUGCACGA
rnacentral:SRP_RNA from 1 species